rnacentral:rRNA from 1 species
GGUUCAGGAUGAACGCUAGCGACAGGCCUAACACAUGCAAGGUCGAGGGGCAGCACAAGGAGCAAUCUGAGGUGGCGACCGGCGCACGGGUGAGUAACACGUAUGCAACCUGCCUGUAAGCGGGGAAUAACCCGUUGAAAGACGGACUAAUACCGCAUAAUACUAAAUUACUGCAUGGUAAUUUAUUUAAACAUUUAUGGCUUACAGAUGGGCAUGCGCAUGAUUAGCUAGUUGGAGAGGUAACGGCUCCCCAAGGCAACGAUCAUUAGGGGUUCUGAGAGGAAGGUCCCCCACACUGGUACUGAGACACGGACCAGACUCCUACGGGAGGCAGCAGUGAGGAAUAUUGGUCAAUGGACGAGAGUCUGAACCAGCCAGGUCGCGUGCAGGAAGAAUGUCCUUAAUGGAUUGUAAACUGCUUUUGCAGGGGAAUAAAGUGCAUCACGUGUGAUGUUUUGUAUGUACUCUGCGAAUAAGGAUCGGCUAACUCCGUGCCAGCAGCCGC